AUGCACCGCUCGUACACUCCGCUUCCGCCACGCCGUCCGCACCCAUCUGAGGAGCGCUCGCGACGUUUUGGGUAGCG
rnacentral:sRNA from 1 species